rnacentral:rRNA from 1 species
UACGUAGGGUGCAAGCGUUGUCCGGAAUUAUUGGGCGUAAAGAGCUCGUAGGCGGCUUGUCGCGUCGGAUGUGAAAGCCCGGGGCUUAACUCCGGGUCUGCAUUCGAUACGGGCAGGCUAGAGUUCGGUAGGGGAGAUCGGAAUUCCUGGUGUAGCGGUGAAAUGCGCAGAUAUCAGGAGGAACACCGAUGGCGAAGGCAGGUCUCUGGGCCACUACUGACGCUGAGAAGCGAAAGCAUGGGGAGCGAACAGG